rnacentral:rRNA from 1 species
UACAGAGGGGGCAAGCGUUAUUCGGAAUUAUUGGGCGUAAAGGGUGCGUAGGCGGUCUGCUAAGUUUGAUGUGAAAUCCCGGGGCUCAACCCUGGAAUGGCAUUGAAUACUGGCGGACUAGAGUACCGGAGAGGAAACUGGAAUUUACGGUGUAGCAGUGAAAUGCGUAGAGAUCGUAAGGAAGACCAGUGGCGAAGGCGAGUUUCUGGACGGUAACUGACGCUGAGGCGCGAAGGCCAGGGGAGCAAACGGGG